rnacentral:rRNA from 1 species
CCCUUAGAUGUUCUGGGCGGCCCGCGCACUACAAUGGCGUGUACAGCGAGUGCCGAAGUAGAGUUUUCCGAGGUAUUCUUGCAAUGCUCGUUUUGAUGGGGAUAGACCCUUGCAACUGUUGGUUUUGAACGAGGAAUUCCUUGUAAGCAUGGUUUAUCAUCCGACGCUGAAUGCGUCCCUGCCCUUUGUACACACCGCCCGUCGCUCCUACCGAUGAGUCGUCCGGUGAAGUUCGUAGACCUCGUGAUCGCGGAUCACUGGGGGAAGCAAAAUGAACCUCGCGGUUUAGAGGAAGGAGAAGUCGUAACA